rnacentral:rRNA from 1 species
GAUGAACGCUGGCGGCGUGCCUAAUACAUGCAAGUCGAGCGAACGGACGAUAAGCUUGCUUCUCUGAUGUUAGCGGCGGACGGGGGAGUAACACGUGUAUAACCUACCUAUAAGACUGGGAAAACUUCGGGAAACCGGAGCUUAUACCGGAUAAUAUUUUGAACCGCAUGGGUCAAAAGUGAAAGACGGUCUUGCUGUCACUUAUAGCUGGAUCCGCGCUGCAUGAGCUAGUUGGUAAGGUAACGGCUUACCAAGGCAACGCUGCAUAGCCGACCUGAGAGGGUGAUCGGCCACACUGGAACUGAGACACGGUCCAGACUCCUACGGGAGGCAGCAGUAGGGAAUCUUCCGCAAUGGGCGAAAGCCUGACGGAGCAACGCCGCGUGAGUGAUGAAGGUCUUCGGAUCGUAAAACUCUGUUAUUAGGGAAGAACAUAUGUGUAAGUAACUGUGCACAUCUUGACGGUAACUAAUCAGAAAGCCACGGCUAACUACGUG